rfam:Fukomys damarensis contig122950, whole genome shotgun sequence.
GGAUGUGAGGGUAAUGUGAUUGUGACAUGUGUCACCACACUGGUUGCCAGAGUUGAUUAAACUCAUCUGGCUGACUAAGCGGGUGUCCCCUGCCUGCCUCCUGGCUCCAUGUGUGUCCCUCCCAAAGGUGUGAGACCUUCCUUCCCUGAUGGGGGAGAACCCUUCUUCGGGCAAACGUAUCUGAGUAGCUGUGCUCCCCUGCGAGAACCUCCACACAAGGGUUCCAGGUCACAAGUUGUACGACUGCAUUGGUAGGAAACAUCCAGAGGGAUCAAUCUACACAGGCAGAAGAU